rnacentral:rRNA from 1 species
AUUGAACACUGGCGGCAGGCCUAACACAUGCAAGUCGAGCGGAUGAAGGGAGCUUGCUCCUGGAUUCAGCGGCGGACGGGUGAGUAAUGCCUAGGAAUCUGCCUGGUAGUGGGGGAUAACGUCCGGAAACGGGCGCUAAUACCGCAUACGUCCUGAGGGAGAAAGUGGGGGAUCUUCGGACCUCACGCUAUCAGAUGAGCCUAGGUCGGAUUAGCUAGUUGGUGGGGUAAAGGCCUACCAAGGCGACGAUCCGUAACUGGUCUGAGAGGAUGAUCAGUCACACGGGAACUGAGACACGGUCCAGACUCCUACGGGAGGCAGCAGUGGGGAAUAUUGGACAAUGGGCGAAAGCCUGAUCCAGCCAUGCCGCGUGUGUGAAGAAGGUCUUCGGAUUGUAAAGCACUUUAAGUUGGGAGGAAGGGCAGUAAGUUAAUACCUUGCUGUUUUGACGUUACCAACAGAAUAAGCACCGGCUAACUUCGUG